UUAAUGAGAGUUUGAUCCUGGCUCAGGACGAACGCUGGCGGCGUGCCUAAUACAUGCAAGUAGAACGCUGAGGUUUGGUGUUUACACUAGACUGAUGAGUUGCGAACGGGUGAGUAACGCGUAGGUAACCUGCCUCAUAGCGGGGGAUAACUAUUGGAAACGAUAGCUAAUACCGCAUAAGAGUAAUUAACACAUGUUAGUUAUUUAAAAGGAGCAAUUGCUUCACUGUGAGAUGGACCUGCGUUGUAUUAGCUAGUUGGUGAGGUAAAGGCUCACCAAGGCGAUGAUACAUAGCCGACCUGAGAGGGUGAUCGGCCACACUGGGACUGAGACACGGCCCAGACUCCUACGGGAGGCAGCAGUAGGGAAUCUUCGGCAAUGGACGGAAGUCUGACCGAGCAACGCCGCGUGAGUGAAGAAGGUUUUCGGAUCGUAAAGCUCUGUUGUUAGAGAAGAACGUUGGUAGGAGUGGAAAAUCUACCAAGUGACGGUAACUAACCAGAAAGGGACGGCUAACUACGUGCCAGCAGCCGCGGUAAUACGUAGGUCCCGAGCGUUGUCCGGAUUUAUUGGGCGUAAAGCGAGCGCAGGCGGUUCUUUAAGUCUGAAGUUAAAGGCAGUGGCUUAACCAUUGUACGCUUUGGAAACUGGAGGACUUGAGUGCAGAAGGGGAGAGUGGAAUUCCAUGUGUAGCGGUGAAAUGCGUAGAUAUAUGGAGGAACACCGGUGGCGAAAGCGGCUCUCUGGUCUGUAACUGACGCUGAGGCU
rnacentral:rRNA from 1 species